AAUGAACGCUGGCGGCGUGCUUAACACAUGCAAGUCGUGCGCGAAAGGGGCUUCGGCCCUGAGUAGAGCGGCGAACGGGUGAGUAACACGUGGGUAAUCUGCCUAGGAGUGGGGGAUAACCUGGGGAAACUCGGGCUAAUACCGCAUACGUCCGCAGGGUUUCGGCUCUGCGAGGAAAGUUGACCUCUACUUGUAAGUUGACGCUCCUAGAGGAGCCCGCGGCUGAUUAGCUAGUUGGUGAGGUAAUGGCUCACCAAGGCGACGAUCAGUAGCCGGCCUGAGAGGGGGACCAGCCAGACUGGAACUGAGACACGGGCCAGACUCCUACGGGAGGCAGCAGUGGGGAAAAUUGGACAAUGGGGGAAACCCUGAUCCAGCAACGCCGCGUGGAGGAUGAAGGCCUUCGGGUUGUAAACUCCUGUUAGGGGGAACGAAGGGCCGCGGGUUAACAGCCGGCGGUCUUGACGGUACCUCCAGAGGAAGCCCCGGCUAACUCUGUGCCAGCCGCCGCCGUAACAC
rnacentral:rRNA from 1 species